rnacentral:rRNA from 1 species
AGAGUUUGAUCAUGGCUCAGAUUGAACGCUGGCGGCAGGCCUAACACAUGCAAGUCGAGCGGUAGCACAGAGAGCUUGCUCUCGGGUGACGAGCGGCGGACGGGUGAGUAAUGUCUGGGAAACUGCCUGAUGGAGGGGGAUAACUACUGGAAACGGUAGCUAAUACCGCAUAACGUCGCAAGACCAAAGUGGGGGACCUUCGGGCCUCAUGCCAUCAGAUGUGCCCAGAUGGGAUUAGCUAGUAGGUGGGGUAACGGCUCACCUAGGCGACGAUCCCUAGCUGGUCUGAGAGGAUGACCAGCCACACUGGAACUGAGACACGGUCCAGACUCCUACGGGAGGCAGCAGUGGGGAAUAUUGCACAAUGGGCGCAAGCCUGAUGCAGCCAUGCCGCGUGUGUGAAGAAGGCCUUCGGGUUGUAAAGCACUUUCAGCGGGGAGGAAGGCGAUAAGGUUAAUAACCUUGUCGAUUGACGUUACCCGCAGAAGAAGCACCGGCUAACUCCGUGCCAGCAGCCGCGGUAAUACGGAGGGUGCAAGCGUUAAUCGGAAUUACUGGGCGUAAAGCGCACGCAGGCGGUCUGUCAAGUCGGAUGUGAAAUCCCCGGGCUCAACCUGGGAACUGCAUUCGAAACUGGCAGGCUAGAGUCUUGUAGAGGGGGGUAGAAUUCCAGGUGUAGCGGUGAAAUGCGUAGAGAUCUGGAGGAAUACCGGUGGCGAAGGCGGCCCCCUGGACAAAGACUGACGCUCAGGUGCGAAAGCGUGGGGAGCAAACAGGAUUAGAUACCCUGGUAGUCCACGCUGUAAACGAUGUCGAUUUGGAGGUUGUGCCCUUGAGGCGUGGCUUCCGGAGCUAACGCGUUAAAUCGACCGCCUGGGGAGUACGGCCGCAAGGUUAAAACUCAAAUGAAUUGACGGGGGCCCGCACAAGCGGUGGAGCAUGUGGUUUAAUUCGAUGCAACGCGAAGAACCUUACCUGGUCUUGACAUCCACAGAACUUAGCAGAGAUGCUUUGGUGCCUUCGGGAACUGUGAGACAGGUGCUGCAUGGCUGUCGUCAGCUCGUGUUGUGAAAUGUUGGGUUAAGUCCCGCAACGAGCGCAACCCUUAUCCUUUGUUGCCAGCGGUUAGGCCGGGAACUCAAAGGAGACUGCCAGUGAUAAACUGGAGGAAGGUGGGGAUGACGUCAAGUCAUCAUGGCCCUUACGACCAGGGCUACACACGUGCUACAAUGGCAUAUACAAAGAGAAGCGACCUCGCGAGAGCAAGCGGACCUCAUAAAGUAUGUCGUAGUCCGGAUUGGAGUCUGCAACUCGACUCCAUGAAGUCGGAAUCGCUAGUAAUCGUAGAUCAGAAUGCUACGGUGAAUACGUUCCCGGGCCUUGUACACACCGCCCGUCACACCAUGGGAGUGGGUUGCAAAAGAAGUAGGUAGCUUAACCUUCGGGAGGGCGCUUACCAUUUUGUGAUUCAUGACUGGGGUGAAGUCGUAACAAGGUAACCGUAGGGGAACCUGCGGUUG